rnacentral:lncRNA from 1 species
AUGGGUGUGAGGGGCCUCAUCCCUGCGGUCCCACCUGCAAGCAGGGCCCUGUCCGAGGGCUGCCCCUCCCCUCCCGGGCCCUCAGGAGCCGCACGUGGGACAAACCGGGAGCCCGCACCGUUAGGGCUGGACGAGAGAGGCCCCGCAAGGCCCCUUCGGCGAGGAACCGCGCCGCGCCCGCCCACACGGCGGAGGACGCCAGGCCAGGCCGGCCCGGGCCGGGCCCCGUCACCACCCCCUCCGCCAUUUCCCGCCCGCGGUCCCGCUCCCCGCCGGAAGGGCUGCGCGCAUCGCCGCGCCAUGGGCGGAGGCGGAAGUGACGGAACGGCGUGCGCGAAGCCCGCCGGGAGCUAUAGUGCGGCGGAGCAGCCGGGCGGGGAGCGCGCAGAGUGGGCCGGACUACAGCUCCCGGCGGCCCCCGCGGAUGGGCAGAGCGCGCGCGCGGGCCGGAAGUGCGUGAGGCGGAGGGGGCGCCUGGUGCGGAGGGGCCGCGGCGAAGCGGCGCCGGUGAGUGCAGGGACAUCGGGGAGUCCGCGGGGUCCCUGCCCCGCCCCGCGCGCUGCCACCGGGAGCUUUCCUUACCCCCGUCCCCCUCCCCGAGCCAUCAGCAGCCGCCUCGCCCCGCCUCUGCCCACUCCCCCCUCCCGCCCCUCCUGGGCCUCACCGCGGCGCUGCAUUCCCCCCCCCCCCCUUCCCCGGUGUCGUGGCCCCGCAUGUCCCCGGGCGAGGCUCGUUCGCUGCUCCCGCGACCGCUCUGGCCCGGCCCCAGCGGCGCCUCGUGGUGGGCCUGGGCCCGGCCAGGCCUUGGCGCCUCCUCGCGGCCCCGGCGCCGGUUGGGCCCGCCCGGGCCUUUCCCGAGGCCGCUCGUGUUCCGCUGGGCUCUUCGCAGACUGUUCCUCUGUCCCAUUCCCGGGGAUCCCUGUCCUCCGCCUCUGGGCCGCGCCACCGGAGUUUCCUCCCUGCGUCGGUCUGUCCCGGAGGUCCCAUCCCGAUGUCCGGGGCUCCGCGUGCUGCCGGCGGCUCGGGAGGCGGGCGGGGCCGGGGCUGCGGGAGCGGCAGCUCGGGGAGGCCGCAGCCGUGACCUCGCGUCCCAGCCCCAGUUGGUGUGUGGCUCCCGCACCGGCGCUCGGCACCGCCCGUUUCCCGGUGCAGCAGGAGGGAUGUGUGCUCUUACGCUGCCUGCUCUGCGUCUUGCUUUAA